rnacentral:rRNA from 1 species
GAUGAACGCUGGCGGCGUGCCUAAUACAUGCAAGUCGAGCGAACAGAUGAGGAGCUUGCUCCUCUGACGUUAGCGGUGGACGGGUGAGUAACACGUGGAUAACCUACCUAUAAGACUGGGAUAACUUCGGGAAACCGGAGCUAAUACCGGAUAAUAUAUUGAACCGCAUGGUUCAAUAGUGAAAGACGGUUUUGCUGUCACUUAUAGAUGGAUCCGCGCCGCAUUAGCUAGUUGGUAAGGUAACGGCUUACCAAGGCAACGAUGCGUAGCCGACCUGAGAGGGUGAUCGGCCACACUGGAACUGAGACACGGUCCAGACUCCUACGGGAGGCAGCAGUAGGGAAUCUUCCGCAAUGGGCGAAAGCCUGACGGAGCAACGCCGCGUGAGUGAUGAAGGUCUUCAGAUCGUAAAACUCUGUUAUUAGGGAAGAACAAAUGUGUAAGUAACUAUGCACGUCUUGACGGUACCUAAUCAGAAAGCCACGGCUAACUACGUG